rnacentral:rRNA from 1 species
UACGUAGGGGGCAAGCGUUGUCUGGAAUCAUUGGGCGUAAAGCGCGUGUAGGCGGCUCGAUAAGUCUGCUGUGAAAGUCCAGGGCUCAACCCUGGAAAGCCGGUGGAAACUGUCGAGCUAGAGUCCGGAAGAGGCGAGUGGAAUUCCUGGUGUAGCGGUGAAAUGCGCAGAUAUCAGGAGGAACACCAAUGGCGAAGGCAGCUCGCUGGGACGGUACUGACGCUGAGACGCGAAAGCGUGGGGAGCAAACAGG